GAUGAACGCUGGCGGCGUGCUUAACACAUCCAAGUCGAACGAUGAAGCCCAGCUUGCUGGGUGGAUUAGUGGCGAACGGGUGAGUAACACGUGAGUAACCUGCCCUUAACUCUGGGAUAAGCCUGGGAAACUGGGUCUAAUACCGGAUAGGAGCGUCCACCGCAUGGUGGGUGUUGGAAAGAUUUAUCGGUUUUGGAUGGACUCGCGGCCUAUCAGCUUGUUGGUGAGGUAAUGGCUCACCAAGGCGACGACGGGUAGCCGGCCUGAGAGGGUGACCGGCCACACUGGGACUGAGACACGGCCCAGACUCCUACGGGAGGCAGCAGUGGGGAAUAUUGCACAAUGGGCGCAAGCCUGAUGCAGCGACGCCGCGUGAGGGAUGACGGCCUUCGGGUUGUAAACCUCUUUCAGUAGGGAAGAAGCGAAAGUGACGGUACCUGCAGAAGAAGCACCGGCUAACUACGUG
rnacentral:rRNA from 1 species